rnacentral:rRNA from 1 species
UUACUUGAUUUGAAGUCUGGACCAUUAAAUUGGAUGCAUGAUAACUAAGUGGGCCAUUUUUGGUAAGCAGAACUGGCGCUGUGGGAUGAACCGAACGUUGAGUUACGGCGCCUGAUUAUAGACGCUCAUCAGAUACCACAAAAGGUGUUGGUUGCUAUAGACAGCAGGACGGUGGCCAUGGAAGUCGGAAUCCGCUAAGGAGUGUGUAACAACUCACCUGCCGAAGCAACUAGCCCUGAAAAUGGAUGGCGCUAGAGCGUUUAGCCUAUACUCAACCGUUGUGGCACACGCUGCGGUAAGCAAUUACCGUAUUUGGUGCUUUUAUGGCACAUGCGUGCUAGUCAUGCCUCAACGAGUAGGAGGGUCGCGGCGGUAUGCUUUGAAGGCUUAGCGGCGUGAGCCGGGCUGGAGCUGCCGUCGGUGCAGAUCUUGGUGGUAGUAGCAAAUACUCAAGCGAGAACCUUGAGGACUGAAGUGGAGAAGGCUUCCAUGUGAACAGCAGUUGAACAUGGGUCAGUCGAUCCUAAAGCAUCGGCGAAGGCCGUUCAGAAGCGGUGUCGGUUAUGUGGCAGUAUGCUGUUUCGGCAGUAUGCUGUCCGGCUAUAGGCGCUUGCUCGUUUAUAGUCGCCGCACCUGCUGAAAGGGAAUUGGAUUAAUAUUUCCAAACCUAACAGCGGAGAUUGGUUGCUCAUUAGGCUGCACGGGCCUUGCGCUCGUGUCAGUCGGGGC